rnacentral:misc_RNA from 1 species
ACAAUCUCAACGCAUGGCAUACGCAGUAUGUUCAUGACGUUCCGAUUAAAUCCUCUCUGUGAAUCUUCCACUGUUGCUUCCAUGCGUUGGCUCUUUGGAGCAGCGCAUGGGACUGCAAUGUAACACCGUGUUCUGUGGUUCCAGUCUGAGUGGUAACUCACAAUCUAACAAGUUA